GCGGUGGUAGCGAAGAUAGGUCAAACGCGGAGGACUCAAGAUCCUCUCUCUUAGGAGUUCGUCGGUUCGAAUCCGGCCCGCCGCACCA
rnacentral:tRNA from 1 species